rnacentral:rRNA from 1 species
CCUACGGGAGGCAGCAGUGAGGAAUAUUGGUCAAUGGGCGGAAGCCUGAACCAGCCAAGUCGCGUGAGGGAUUAAGGCCCUGCGGGUCGUAAACCUCUUUUGCCGGGGAGCAGUGGUCCGGACGAGUCCGGGCCGGGAGAGUACCCGGAGAAAAAGCAUCGGCUAACUCCGUGCCAGCAGCCGCGGUAAUACGGAGGAUGCGAGCGUUAUCCGGAUUUAUUGGGUUUAAAGGGUGCGUAGGCGGGCAUUUAAGCCGGCGGUCAAAUGUCGGGGCUCAACCCCGGCCUGCCGUCGGAACUGGGUGCCUUGAGUGGGCGAGAAGUAUGCGGAAUGCGUGGUGUAGCGGUGAAAUGCAUAGAUAUCACGCAGAACCCCGAUUGCGAAGGCAGCAUACCGGCGCCCGACUGACGCUGAGGCACGAAAGUGCGGGUAUCGAACAGGAUUAGAUACCCCGGUAGUC